ACCGACCACCUGGACCCCCGGCUGACCGGAAGCUGGACCCCGGCAACUUAGAGGUUCCUCAUUCUCUUCCCUCAGCUUGGAAAGUACGUUCCGCCCUCGGUUCCCACCGCCGGAGCCGUUUUUAAGAACACAGGCGUGAGGGAGCAAUGUGACUUUGAGACUAUCUGCACCACUUAAGCCCAUCUUAAGGCCUUUAGAUAAACUUCUGGGAUUCUGGUGGGCGAAUGCGAAGCCCUCCUCGACUUGCGGGCACCCAAGACAAACCCCACUGUGUUGAUCCCAGAACAUUCUCUAAUAAGCCUCCUGCUGGCUAAUUUCUCUCUGAGUCGGCUUCCUGGGGAGCCCAUCAUGGAAGAUUUUUAUUAUCCCCAUGUAACAAAGGAAAAUGGAGGAGUUUGGGUACUCAAUCAAACUAUUCGAGGAAUUAUAGUGCAGAAGUUUAAAGUGGAGAAUGUCACCUCAAACCGUAUUCUGUGAUGCCAAGCAAAAGAAAACUUUUCUAUGAAAUGACUGAUUCUCAACCUACUUGCCCAGUUACUUCUAAAUCAUUUGGUGUUCCAGAAGGAGUCUUUGAAGAAUCUGGGUUUCAAAGGUCUCAGACCUUCUACAACCUGCCUGUGAGGAGACGUCUGCCCUGUGCACUGUAGAAUGUUUAGCAGCACUCCUGGCUUCUGCUCUGGAUGAAAACAGCACUUCUUCCAGUUAUGACAACCAAAAAUGUCUCCAGAGAUUGCAAAUAUUCCCCAAGGGACAAUAUCACCCUCCUUCGUAUUAUGGACCUCUGCCUUAAAUGACCAUUGAUUUAGUGUUGGUGUGUGGGUAUGAAACUUUGCCCGUACCACAUAAGCAGGAGCAGGUAACUUGAACUUAUCAGAAGAAAAACAGAUCUGGGAGUUGUACAGAAGACUUUUUGAGCUUGCUACUCCUAUCUCUUUAUAUUUGCACGUGUGGACACAGACACCAACCCUCUUUCUUGUUAAUCAGAGCGAGGAAAGUUACCUGAAGGCUGUUGAUGGGAACAAGCUAUGGGGCCUGUAAUACCCACCACUGCUGUAAAAAGGUCCUAAAGUCAAGAUGAAUUUCCAAGUUACAAAGUACCGUCUCUGUCAGUAAUGAAAGGAAGAUUUGUGAAUCCAUACAGGCUUGCUUGAUCUAUCACCAAUGCACCUGAUCCAUCAUUGAUAGCUUAUUGUAUGGAAGAAAUCUCCACCUUCAGCAAUUAUAAAGCAAAGCAA